rnacentral:misc_RNA from 1 species
AAGUCGUAACAAGGUUUCCGUAGGUGAACCUGCGGAAGGAUCAUUACAAAACAAAAUCCAAACCACACCAAAUGUGCUCUAUAAAUGCUGAGAAGCUGUCUUUGUGUGUGUUAAUGUUUGUGUGAGGAGAAAAAUUUAUUUUUUCCUCCUCGCACUCUCACACACACACACACACAAUCCUUCUUUUCAGCAUUGUCUUUGUUUAUCAAUUUUUUCAUUAACUCCUUGUUUAACCAACAACGGAUUACAAUGUUAAAACUUGAAACAAAAAAACAAAACAAAAUGACAACUUUUAACGGUGGAUCUCUUGGCUCGU